UACCAGCACCCCGAGUGGUCGGGACGUUUAUUGGGCCUAAAGCAUCCGUAGCCUGUUCUACGAGUCUUCCGUUAAAUCCAACUGCUUAACAGGUGGGCUGCGGAAGAUACUAUAGAGCUAGGAGGCGGGAGAGGCAAGCGGUACUCGAUGGGUAGGGGUAAAAUCCGUUGAUCCAUUGAAGACCACCAGUGGCGAAGGCGGCUUGCCAGAACGCGCUCGACGGUGAGGGAUGAAAGCUGGGGGAGCAAACCGG
rnacentral:rRNA from 1 species